UACGGAGGGUGCAAGCGUUAUCCGGAUUCACUGGGUUUAAAGGGUGCGUAGGUGGGUCCGUAAGUCAGUGGUGAAAUCUCCGAGCUUAACUUGGAAACUGCCAUUGAUACUAUAGAUCUUGAAUACCGUGGAGGUCAGCGGAAUAUGUCAUGUAGCGGUGAAAUGCUUAGAUAUGACAUAGAACACCAAUUGCGAAGGCAGCUGGCUACACGAAUAUUGACACUGAUGCACGAAAGCGUGGGGAUCAAACAGG
rnacentral:rRNA from 1 species